GCUACUUGGGAGGCUGAGACAGGAGAAUCGCUUGAACCUGGGAGCCGGAGGUUGCAGUGAGCUGAGAUCAUGCCAUUGCACUCCAGCGUGGGCAACAAGAGCGGGACUCCAUCUCAAAAAAAAAAAAAAAAAAAUUAGCCGGGCACGGUGGUGAACACCUGUGGUCCCAGCUACUCGGGAGGCCGAGGUAGGAGGAUCACUUGGACCCAGGGAGUUGAGGCUGAAGUGAACCAUGAUCACACCACCACACUACAGCCUGGGUGGCAGAGCAAGACCCUGUUCUAAAAGAAAGAAAGAGAGAAAAAGAGAGAGAGAGAGAGAAAAAGGAAGGAGGGAGAAGAGAGAGAGAAGGGAGGGAAGGAGCAGAGAGAAAGAGAGACAGAGUGAAAGAAAAAGAAGGAAGCACUUUUCUUUAUCUUCACCUAUUUAUUUAUAUGUUUAUUUAUUGAGACAGGGUCUUGCUCUGUCGCCCAAGCUGGAGUGCAGUGGCAUGAUCAUAGCUCACUGCAGCCUCUAUCUCCCUGGGCUCAAGUGAUCCUCUAACCUCAGCCUCCCAAGUAGCUGGGACCACAGGCAUGCCACUGCCAUGUCCAGCUAUUUUUUUCUUUUUUUAGAGAUGGGGGGUCUUCCUAUGUUGCCCACUCUGGUCUGGAACUCCUGGACUAAAGCGAUCCUCCCACCUUGGCCUCACAAAGUGUUGGGAUUAGAGGCAUGAGGCACCGUGCCGGCUGCUCUUUUCUUUUAGUGGCCUAGUUCCAAUAGAGUUAAACAUUCAUUGCUUUCUCAAUGUCUUUUCUGAUUAAAACAAAAACAAACAAAACAUCUAGAGCCACUCCAUGAAAAUUUAAAAAGAAGAAAGCUCUAAUUGAGCUCCCUUCCCAAACAAUUGUUUUCCAUAACAAAUUAGGUUUAAGUUCAGGGCUUGUGAGCUUUGGUGUAUUUCCUCAUGAAACUCCCUAAGCGCUUCCUAAACCUUGAUUAAUGACCAGCUCCUCUGAGACAUAAUUAUGAACACUUUUAAUUUAACAAAAGCACAGGGAACCCUUGUUUCCACUGUUGUGUGAAAGUAACCUGGCGUCAGUUUCUAUUUAUAUGAAGCCAUUAAAUGUUCAACUUCUGUGUUAAAUGCAGGUAAGAGAACUGUAGAAUAUUUUAAAAACCAUAGUAAAAUGAGCAUUUCUAAAAUAGCUACACAAAACAAAAGGUAUAUUAUAAUGUAUAAUCUGCAAUUUUAUAUGAAAAGCACUAUAUAGGCCAGGCACGGUGGCUCACGUCUGUAAUCCCAGCACUUUGGGAGGCUGAGGCAGGUGGAUCAUGAGGUCAGGCGAUCGAGACUAUCCUGGCUAACACAGUGAAACCCUGUCUCUACUAAAAAUACAAAAAAUUAGCCAGGUGUGGUGGCACGUGCCUGUAGUC
rnacentral:lncRNA from 10 species